UACGUAGGUCCCGAGCGUUGUCCGGAUUUAUUGGGCGUAAAGCGAGCGCAGGUGGUUUAUUAAGUCUGGUGUAAAAGGCAGUGGCUCAACCAUUGUAUGCAUUGGAAACUGGUAGACUUGAGUGCAGGAGAGGAGAGUGGAACUCCAUGUGUAGCGGUGAAAUGCGUAGAUAUAUGGAGGAACACCGGUGGCGAAAGCGGCUCUCUGGCCUGUAACUGACACUGAGGCUCGAAGGCGUGGGGAGCAAACAGG
rnacentral:rRNA from 1 species